rnacentral:rRNA from 1 species
AACGUACGCUGGCGGCACGCCUAACACAUGCAAGUCGAACGAAGUAGCAAUACUUAGUGGCAGACGGGUGAGUAACAUGUAGGUAUCUGCCCUUUGGCCUGGAAUAACACGAGGAAACUUGUGCUAAUACCGGAUAAGUCUUUACGGAGAAAGCUUUAUGCACCAUUGGAUGAGCCUGCACUUGAUUAGUUUGUUGGUGGGGUAAUGGCCUACCAAGACUGUGAUCAAUAGCUGAUUUGAGAGGAUGAUCAGCCACAUUGGGACUGAGACACGGCCCAAACUCCUACGGGAGGCAGCAGUGGGGAAUCUUGCACAAUGGAGGAAACUCUGAUGCAGCGAUGCCGCGUGAGUGAAGAAGGCCCUUGGGUUGUAAAGCUCUUUCGUCGGGGAAGAAAAUGACUGUACCCGAAUAAGAAGGUCCGGCUAACUUCGUGCCAGCAGCCGCGGUAAUACGAAGGGACCUAGCGUAGUUCGGAAUUACUGGGCUUAAAGAGUUCGUAGGUGGUUGAAAAAGUUAGUGGUGAAAUCCCAGAGCUUAACUCUGGAACCGCCAUUAAAACUUUUCAGCUAGAGUAUGAUAGAGGAAAGCAGAAUUUCUAGUGUAGAGGUGAAAUUCGUAGAUAUUAGAAAGAAUACCAAUUGCGAAGGCAGCUUUCUGGAUCAUUACUGACACUGAGGAACGAAAGCAUGGGUAGCGAAGAGGAUUAGAUACCCUCGUAGUCCAUGCCGUAAACGAUGUGUGUUAGACGUUGGAAAUUUAUUUUCAGUGUCGCAGGGAAACCGAUAAACACACCGCCUGGGGAGUACGACCGCAAGGUUAAAACUCAAAUGAAUUGACGGGGACCCGCACAAGUAGUGGAGCAUGUGGUUUAAUUCGAAGAUACGCGCAGAACCUUACCAACACUUGACAUGUUCGUCGCGACUCUAAGAGAUUAGAGUUUUCGGUUCGGCCGGACGAAACACAGGUGCUGCAUGGCUGUCGUCAGCUCGUGUCGUGAGAUGUUGGGUUAAGUCCCGCAACGAGCGCAACCCUCACUUUUAGUUGCCAUCAUUAAGUUGGGCACUCUGAAAGAACUGCCAGUGAUAAGCUGGAGGAAGGUGGGGAUGACGUCAAGUCCUCAUGGCCCUUACGUGUUGGGCUACACACGUGCUACAAUGGUAUCUACAACAGGAAGCAAGACUGCGAAGUUAAGCAAAUCCCUAAAAGAUACCUCAGUUCGGAUUGCACUCUGCAACUCGAGUGCAUGAAGCUGGAAUUACUAGUAAUCGUGGAUCAGCGUGCCACGGUGAAUGCGUUCCCGGGUCU